GGUACUUUUUCCAUCACUUAUAAGGUAGCUAGAGAAGCUUUCUGAUUUUAAAAGGAUUUGUUGCAGAAUUAGGUGUAAUAUCAUGAGAUGGCAUAACACUGUAUUGCGACAACAUUGACACCAUAACUCUAGCUAAGGAGCCUAGGUCUCACCAAAAUUUCUAGCACAUAAAAAUGAUAAUAUGCGACUAUCUCAAGAAGAAAUACAUCA
rnacentral:lncRNA from 1 species